CAGAGUUCAUGCCCUCACGGGUAGAUCUCCCACCCUUGAAUAUCUUACCUUUGUUGCUUUGGCAGGCCGCGUUUGCGCCAGAGGCUUCGGCUUUUGAGUGCCUGCCAGAGGACCACAACUCUGUUUUUAGUGAUGUCUGAGUACUAUAUAAUAGUUA
rnacentral:misc_RNA from 1 species